rnacentral:rRNA from 1 species
UACGUAGGGCGCAAGCGUUGUCCGGAAUUAUUGGGCGUAAAGAGCUCGUAGGCGGCUUGUCACGUCGGUUGUGAAAGCCCGGGGCUUAACCCCGGGUCUGCAGUCGAUACGGGGCAGGCUAGAGUGUGGGUAGGGGGAGGAUCGGAAUUCCUGGUGUAGCGGUGAAAUGCGCAGAUAUCAGGAGGAACACCGGUGGCGAAGGCGGAUCUCUGGGCCAUUACUGACGCUGAGGAGCGAAAGCGUGGGGGAGCGAACAGG